AUUGAACGCUGGCGGCAGGCCUAACACAUGCAAGUCGAGCGGAUGACGGGAGCUUGCUCCUUGAUUCAGCGGCGGACGGGUGAGUAAUGCCUAGGAAUCUGCCUGGUAGUGGGGGACAACGUUUCGAAAGGAACGCUAAUACCGCAUACGUCCUACGGGAGAAAGCAGGGGACCUUCGGGCCUUGCGCUAUCAGAUGAGCCUAGGUCGGAUUAGCUAGUUGGUGGGGUAAUGGCUCACCAAGGCGACGAUCCGUAACUGGUCUGAGAGGAUGAUCAGUCACACUGGAACUGAGACACGGUCCAGACUCCUACGGGAGGCAGCAGUGGGGAAUAUUGGACAAUGGGCGAAAGCCUGAUCCAGCCAUGCCGCGUGUGUGAAGAAGGUCUUCGGAUUGUAAAGCACUUUAAGUUGGGAGGAAGGGCAGUAAGCUAAUACCUUGCUGUUUUGACGUUACCGACAGAAUAAGCACCGGCUAACUCUGUGCCAGCCGCCGCAGUAACAC
rnacentral:rRNA from 1 species